GACGAACGCUGGCGGCACGCUUAAAACAUGCAAGUCGAACGUGAAGUCCGGGCUUGCCCGGGUGGAAAGUGGCGAACGGGUGCGUAACACGUGAGCAACCUGCCCCGAAGACUGGGAUAACACCGGGAAACCGGUGCUAAUACCGGAUGCCUUCACCAUGUCGCAUGGCGAGGUGAAGAAAUGGAUUCCGCUUUGGGAUGGGCUCGCGGCCUAUCAGCUUGUUGGUGGGGUAAUGGCCUACCAAGGCAACGACGGGUAGCUGGUCUGAGAGGAUGUCCAGCAACACUGGGACUGAGACACGGCACAGACUCCUACGGGAGGCAGCAGUUAGGAAUCUGGCGCAAUGGGCGAAAGCCUGACGCAGCGAUGCCGCGUGCGGGAUGAAGGCCCUCGGGUCGUAAACCGCUUUCAGCAGGGACGAUUAUGACGGUACCUGCAGAAGAAGCCCCGGCCAACUACGUGCCAGCAGCCGCCGUAACAC
rnacentral:rRNA from 1 species